rnacentral:rRNA from 1 species
CAUGCAAGUCGAACGGUAACAGGAAGCAGCUUGCUGCUUCGCUGACGAGUGGCGGACGGGUGAGUAAUGUCUGGGAAGCUGCCUGAUGGAGGGGGAUAACUACUGGAAACGGUAGCUAAUACCGCAUAAUGUCGCAAGACCAAAGAGGGGGACCUUCGGGCCUCUUGCCAUCGGAUGUGCCCAGAUGGGAUUAGCUUGUUGGUGGGGUAACGGCUCACCAAGGCGACGAUCCCUAGCUGGUCUGAGAGGAUGACCAGCCACACUGGAACUGAGACACGGUCCAGACUCCUACGGGAGGCAGCAGUGGGGAAUAUUGCACAAUGGGCGCAAGCCUGAUGCAGCCAUGCCGCGUGUAUGAAGAAGGCCUUCGGGUUGUAAAGUACUUUCAGCGGGGAGGAAGGGAGUAAAGUUAAUACCUUUGCUCAUUGACGUUACCCGCAGAAGAAGCACCGGCUAACUCCGUGCCAGCAGCCGCGGUAAUACGGAGGGUGCGAGCGUUAAUCGGAAUUACUGGGCGUAAAGCGCACGCAGGCGGUUUGUUAAGUCAGAUGUGAAAUCCCCGGGCUCAACCUGGGAACUGCAUCUGAUACUGGCAAGCUUGAGUCUCGUAGAGGGGGGUAGAAUUCCAGGUGUAGCGGUGAAAUGCGUAGAGAUCUGGAGGAAUACCGGUGGCGAAGGCGGCCCCCUGGACGAAGACUGACGCUCAGGUGCGAAAGCGUGGGGAGCAAACAGGAUUAGAUACCCUGGUAGUCCACGCCGUAAACGAUGUCGACUUGGAGGUUGUGCCCUUGAGGCGUGGCUUCCGGAGCUAACGCGUUAAGUCGACCGCCUGGGGAGUACGGCCGCAAGGUUAAAACUCAAAUGAAUUGACGGGGGCCCGCACAAGCGGUGGAGCAUGUGGUUUAAUUCGAUGCAACGCGAAGAACCUUACCUGGUCUUGACAUCCACGGAAGUUUUCAGAGAUGAGAAUGUGCCUUCGGGAACCGUGAGACAGGUGCUGCAUGGCUGUCGUCAGCUCGUGUUGUGAAAUGUUGGGUUAAGUCCCGCAACGAGCGCAACCCUUAUCCUUUGUUGCCAGCGGUCCGGCCGGGAACUCAAAGGAGACUGCCAGUGAUAAACUGGAGGAAGGUGGGGAUGACGUCAAGUCAUCAUGGCCCUUACGACCAGGGCUACACACGUGCUACAAUGGCGCAUACAAAGAGAAGCGACCUCGCGAGAGCAAGCGGACCUCAUAAAGUGCGUCGUAGUCCGGAUUGGAGUCUGCAACUCGACUCCAUGAAGUCGGAAUCGCUAGUAAUCGUGGAUCAGAAUGCCACGGUGAAUACGUUCCCGGGCCUUGUACACACCGCCCGUCACACCAUGGGAGUGGGUUGCAAAAGAAGUAGGUAGCUUAACCUUCGGGAGGGCGCUUACCACUUUGUGAUUCAUGACUGGGGUGAAGUCGGAACAAGGUA